rnacentral:misc_RNA from 1 species
CUUGGUGUGNAUGGACAUGUGGGAUCCCUGCCUUUGGCAGCGAACGCAUGUUAUAAACACCUCUUCAAUUGUUGCCGCAAGAGUGGGUUUUCACGUGGGCUUUGUGGGUUUCUUGUGUUGUAUACCUCUACGAAGGUAUUUGGUGGUCUCAAAUGUUCUAGUUCCUCGUUGCACCACAUCCUUUACGGUUGAGGUGUGAGGUGGACCCUGAAGAUCCGUUGUGUUCCACAUCCCAUGUGCAUUGCAUGUGCUCAGGGUUGUUGGCACAUGAUGCGUUUGCUUGAUCUCUCGGAUAUAGAAAAUUGAUCGGAUAUGAGGCAUGUCGCUUCUAGUUGCCCCAAAAANUAGCGUUCUACGCUCUUUGCAAACGACGAUCGUUCUCGUUUUGAUUGAGUCCUUGUGGCUUGACUCAUGCGUUAACGAUGUCGAU